CUUAACACAUGCAAGUCGAACGAAUGGUAGAGGGCUUGCUCUCUAUCGUUAGUGGCGGACGGGUGCGUAACACGUGAGGAACAUACCCAUCGGCGGGGGAGUAGCCGGCCCAACGGCCGGGUAAUACCGCGUACGACCUUUUGAGCGCAUGCUCGAGGGGUGAAAGCAGCAAUGCACCGGUGGAGUGCCUCGCGGCCUAUCAGCUUGUUGGUGAGGUCGCGGCUCACCAAGGCGACGACGGGUAGCUGGUCUGAGAGGAUGGCCAGCCACAUUGGGACUGAGACACGGCCCAGACUCCUACGGGAGGCAGCAGUGGGGAAUAUUGCGCAAUGGCCGAAAGGCUGACGCAGCGACGCCGCGUGUGGGAUGAAGGUCCUCGGAUUGUAAACCACUGUCAGGAGGGACGAAUGCCGGGCAACCGGUUUGACGGUACCUCCAGAGGAAGCACCGGCUAACUCCGUG
rnacentral:rRNA from 1 species